AUUGAACGCUGGCGGCAGGCCUAACACAUGCAAGUCGAGCGGAUGAAGGGAGCUUGCUCCUGGAUUCAGCGGCGGACGGGUGAGUAAUGCCUAGGAAUCUGCCUGGUAGUGGGGGAUAACGUCCGGAAACGGGCGCUAAUACCGCAUACGUCCUGAGGGAGAAAGUGGGGGAUCUUCGGACCUCACGCUAUCAGAUGAGCCUAGGUCGGCUUAGCUAGUUGGUGGGGUAAAGGCCUACCCAGGCGACGAUCCGUAACUGGUCUGAGAGGAUGAUCAGUCACACUGGAACUGAGACACGGUCCCGACUCCUACGGGAGGCAGCAGUGGGGAAUAUUGGACCAUGCGCGAAAGCCUGAUCCAGCCAUGCCGCGUGUGUGAAGAAGGUCUUCGGAUUGUAAAGCACUUUAAGUUGGGAGGAAGGGCAGUAAGUUAAUACCUUGCUGUUUUGACGUUACCCACAGAAUAAGCACCGGCUAACUUCGUG
rnacentral:rRNA from 1 species